UUACGGCCAUAUCAUGUUGAAGCACCGGUUCCUGUACGAUCACCGAAGUUAAGCAACAUCCAGCUUGGAAAAGACCUAGAUGGGUGACCGCUUUGGAAUACUAGGGGCUGUAAG